AAACCACAAUGGCAUUUCUUGCGCCAUACGCAGAUUGAGGCAGUACAACAAACUACCACUAGAGGGCAGAACAUGAUGGAUGUUGUGUCUAAACGAACAAAAGUUUGGCCUCUGGCUCCUGCAGGGCCCCCAAGCGAGCACUUUUUUGGGGUUCACAGUGCGGUGACCUCUGAGGAGAUGCAGUAACGUCCUGAACUCUUCAGCAUCAAAGAGAUCUGCGGGGGGCGGAGCUGAUACAGAACGCAUCACAAUGCCGGUCCACCUACACUCUCCCGCUCCUGUUCCUCACUUUCCUCAAGUAUGCGAAUAUGAAUGACUUCAGUCCUCUCCCUGUGACCUCUCUAUCACAUCACCUCUGUUUACUCACCCGCAGGCCACCCGAGAUGUAGAUAAGUUUGUUUCUUAAUGGGAAGAUUUGAAGAAAUCAGUCCAAACAGCUGAUAAAAACAUCACAGUAAUCCAGCCCAUCAGUUAACAUCUUGUGAAGUAAAAAUCUAUAUUUCUGCAAAAAACAAAUCCAUCAAGUUUUUUUUUUUUUUUUCUUCGAACCAUUGCGUCUGGCCAAAAUACGAGUCCAUAUAAUUCAUAAUAAUGCUUCCUCCUGUGAAAAAGUCCAUCUCCUGUUGUCCUCUCACAUCAAAAUCCACCGACAUAACUGUUUUGGACUGUUUUCUCUUGUAAACAGUGCUUGAUAUGUGCUGAUUUCUCUCCUGAUUCAGAUGAGAUGCCUUUUCACUGGAGAAAGCAAUAUUAUGGAUAGAGGACUCAUAUUUUAGUCACAAGAUGUUAACUGAUGGACUGGAGUGGUGUGGAUUACUUGUGGAUUAUUGUUUUGUUUUUAUCAGCUGUUUGGACUCUCAUUCUGACGGCACCCAUUCACGGCAGAGGAUCCUUUGGUUUGCAGCAGUGAUUCUUUGCAUUUCUUUAGGAUAAAAGCAGCACGAUAUCAGGCAGCGGUCAAAGAGCAGGUCUACUUUCCCUCGUUCUCCCCCUCUCUUGUUUUCUGCCUCUGGCAAAUCAUUCCCUCUCCUCUCCUCUUCUCUUCUCUUCUUUUCUCUUUUUUUUUUCUCUUUCUCUGUUCUUGUUGGGCUGUAAUUUAUGAUGUUGCAGCAGCACAAAUGAGAUGAAGUUUUUAUAACAGACGCCUGCUGACACACUUUAGCUCCCCUCUCUCUGUUAGGGAAAGUUAUUGGGCUUGUUAGUAACGGUCAUAAAAAGCUCGGGGCCGUUCACACUGUGCUUGUCAUGAUGUAGUUUAGUUAAUGUCAUUGUUUCAAGAGGGUGAAGUUAAUAAAUCACUAACUUCUCAAUGUGCUGCACACACACACACACACACACACACACACACACACACACACACACACACACACACACACACACACACACACACUCUCUCUCUCUCUCUGUUACUCAUACCUAUUUUUCUUGUAAUCAAAUAAUGUAAACAUUUUUUUUUAAAUAAAUAAAAUCUUAUGAAAUCAAAAAUGAAAUAUUUUUUUAAAUAAAUGUAUAUAUAUAUAUAUAUAUAUGUAUGUAUAUGUAUGUAUAUUAUUUAUAUAUUAUUUACAGCACAUUUUAUCUAUCAUCUAUUUUUUUCUAAACUUCUUGGGUAUAAUUUUUUUAAUGCAAAUGUUUAUGGUGUUUCUCCUCACAGUAACAGCAUACAACUGUCUAAAAGCUAUUUGCAAAUCAG
ensembl:lncRNA